GCAUGGAGUGGCAUCCUGUGGCAAGAGGAGCCAGUUUUGGAUGAUGGGAGAAACUAUGGAGAAACACGGCACAGCUUCUGUCAGCUUACAGCCAAGAAAAACACAAGUCGGACCAAAGCCCACAGGAAACUAACAACUCUAAGAAAGGCCAGCUAAUGAAGGAAGGAGAAACUGGUGGUGCAAAUUCGGAAUAUUCUUCACUGCAAGGCUGUGUUUUUGGGGAAAAUGUGUGUGCACCCCAGGUGAAGAUGCACACCACUGUCACCAGAGGAGGUCCAUAUUGCCUCACUCAAUUUUCUAAAAGCUUCUCUGCUCAGAGCAAUCUCCACGUUUGUACCUCUGUCAUCCACUUCCUUUUCCUAAAACCAUUAGCCCUCAAACUUCCCCAGUUCUCUUUCUGUCACAAGGCAGGGCAAGGAUAGCUUCACAAAAUUCAGCUUCUGCACGUGCAGAUGGAUGGUGGGCUGCCCUGUGUGACGGAGUGACCGCCUGGGUCUGUGCAUGUGCAGGUGUGUGUUGUUCCUGGGCAGCAGUCGGGGUUUGGUGGCUCCUCCAUCGCUUCUCCAAGCACAGCAUAAACAUUUCCCCUGCCUGGUCUUUUGGGGCUGUCUAGAGAAAGUCUGGAAAAUUCCAGAUAGUUUUGUUGGAUUAUGUUUAACCCACUCACUGGAUGAAGGCUGGGACUGAUUGUCCCCCAUGCUGAUUGUCCUUCAGCACCUUAAAGCCAGGCCAGUUGUCUCAGACAUUAGGAAUUCUUGUUUUACCCCUUCAAAACUCA